UAAACCAGCCAACAGUGCGCCAGGAGGAUAAGCCAGUUUGUGAUUGGUCCCCACACAUUUGUAAUGGUAGCAGGAUAGAAAAAAGUACAGGUUUCCAGCCUGAGCUGCAGGGCGAAAUCAAAUCCUCGGCAGAUCGGGCUGGGUUUACCCAGUCUAAGCAUUUUAAGCA